rnacentral:rRNA from 1 species
UUGCUGAGAGGUGGUGCAUGGCCGUCGUCAGUUCGUACUGUGAAGCAUCCUGUUAAGUCAGGCAACGAGCGAGACCCACGUCCACAGUUGCCAGCAUACCCUCCGGGGUGAUGGGUACACUGUGGAGACCGCCGCUGCUAAAGCGGAGGAAGGAGUGGGCAACGGUAGGUCAGUAUGCCCCGAAUCUCCCGGGCUACACGCGGGCUACAAUGGUUGGUACAAUGGGCAUCUACCCCGAAAGGGGAAGGAAAUCUCUUAAAGCCAAUCGUAGUUCGGAUUGAGGGCUGCAACUCGCCCUCAUGAAGCUGGAAUCCGUAGUAAUCGCGUUUCAACAGAACGCGGUGAAUACGUCCCUGCUCCUU